GCACCCUGCGACCACUGUUUCCGCAGGUCACAGCCCUUACUAGGGAAAACUCCUAAAGCGGGUGUCGCAGGUUCGAAUCCUGCCGGGGGCA
rnacentral:tRNA from 1 species